UACGAAGGACCCGAGCGUUAUCCGGAUUUAUUGGGUUUAAAGGGUGCGUAGGCGGGCAGGUAAGUCCGUGGUGAAAUCUCUGAGCUUAACUCAGAAACUGCCAUGGAUACUAUUUGUCUUGAAUAUUGUGGAGGUAAGCGGAAUAUGUCAUGUAGCGGUGAAAUGCUUAGAUAUGACAUAGAACACCAAUUGCGAAGGCAGCUUACUACACAGUUAUUGACGCUGAGGCACGAAAGCGUGGGGAUCAAACAGG
rnacentral:rRNA from 1 species